CAACGCCUCAUUGGUUCCACCCCCGGCAACGUCUCAUUGGUUCCACCCCUGGCAACGUCUCAUUGGUUCCACCCCUGGCAACGUCUCAUUGGUUCCACCCCUGGCAACGUCUCAUUGGUUCCACCCCUGGCAACGUCUCAUUGGUUCCACCCCUGGCAACGUCUCAUUGGUUCCACCCCUGGCAACGUCUCAUUGGUUCCACCCCUGGCAACGUCUCAUUCAUAUAUCCUAUCCUCUGGGGGUCUGCGUAGAGCAGACUACAACUCUAUAUCCUAUCCUCUGGGGGUCUGCGUAGAGCAGACUACAGCUCUAUAUCCUAUCCUCUGGGGGUCUGCGUAGAGCAGACUACAGCUCUAUAUCCUAUCCUCUGGGGGUCUGCAUAGAGCUAGCAGACUACAGCUCUAUAUCCUAUCCUCUGGGGGUCUGCGUAGAGCAGACUACAGCUCUAUAUCAUAUCCUCUGGGGGUCUGCGUAGAGCAGACUACAGCUCUAUAACCUAUCCUCUGGGGGUCUGCGUAGAGCAGACUACAGCUCUAUAUCCUAUCCUCUGGGGGUCUGCGUAGAGCUAGCAGACUACAGCUCUAUAACCUAUCCUCUGGGGGUCUGCAUGGAGCAGACUACAGCUCUAUAUCAUAUCCUCUGGGGGUCUGCAUGAGCUAGCAGACUAGAAACAUUUGACUGAAUUUGAUGCCCAGUACAACUUGAAGAGAGUUGGCAUGGCUGAUGUCAUGUGACAGGGUUUACAUGGGGUUUUGGUCAGUUGACCUACUGAUGAACUUUUCAGAGUAAUCUCCGUGCUGGGCCAGGAGGAGGUUUUCAGAGUAACCUUUUCAGAGUAAUCUCCGUGCUGGGCCAGGAGGAGGUUUUCAGAGUAACCUUUUCAGAGUAACCUUUUCAGAGUAACCUUUUCAGAGUAAGAGUAAUCUCCGUGCUGGGCCAGGAGGAGGUUUUCAGAGUAACCUUUUCAGAGUAAUCUCCGUGCUGGGCCAGGAGGAGGUUUUCAGAGUAACCUUUUCAGAGUAAUCUCCGUGCUGGGCCAGGAGGAGGUUUUCCACCAUCAACUCAAUCAUUGUUCCCUACUUUGGUUUUCUAUUAGAAAUGUCACACGCUUUUAAAAAAAGCACAUGGUUUAUAUUUGAUGUUAUUGUGAUUUUAAAUGAACUUGAUAAAAUAAAGAGUUGUCAAACA